GAAGGAUUUCAGCCUCUUCCAUUUCCCAUCGUCCCAGCCUCAAACACAACAGAGAAGCUCCAAGAUGGCGCAAGCAAUUUUCGAGGCGUUGGCAGGAAUGGACAAUCAGACGGUGCUGGCCGUUCAGUCUCUGUUGGAGAGUCAGGGACCAGUUACUGACCCAUCACCCCACUCCGUAACCACCAGCAGCAUCCAGCCAGCCCUGGAUGAUGACGAUGUCUUUCUGUGUGGGAAGUGUAAGAAACAGUUUAACUCUCUGCAGUCCUUUAUCGCUCACAAGCGCGAACAGUGUCAGGGCAGCCUGCCCUCAUUGGCCUCUGUAUCACUGGCUCCCAGCAACACCUUCACCUCCGUCCCCCCAAUGACCAGCGUGCCGCCUCCACAGCCCAUCAGCCGACAGCAAGUGUCAACUUACAUCACGGUGCCCCACUCCCCGCUGACCCAGGCUCUGGUCCAGGGGAACAUCAUAGUCAGUGACGAUGUGCUCAUGUCUGCCAUGUCGGCCUUCAGCUCCCUCGAUCACAGCCUGGCACCGAUCCAGCCGCCCAUACAGAGCAGUCACAACAUGCAUCCGGGAGCUUCAUACAUACCCCAACCCCCUCCCCCUCCCCCUCCCCCUCCCCCACCUCCCCCUCCUCCUACAAUGACCCCCCAGAUCCAGCCCAGUCCCAGCGGAAAUGCUGUGGUGCAAGUGUACAGCACACUGACUCCGAUGAACGGGAACACCUCGGAGGGGCAGAGCCUGGCCAUGCAGAACUUCCCACAUGUCCAGGUUCCCAGCCAGUGUGUGGAGAGUUCCCCGUUCACCACUCCCCCUGUGUACAGUCCUGGAAAGCAAGGCCUCAAAACUAGAACGACCAACAUCACCCUUCGCCCUGCAGCUGAUGAACUCUCGAACUUCGACUCCAACAGCACAAAGAACAGGCAGCCCAAAGAUACCUUGGGCGCCCAGGAAGGGAAAGGAAAAUCACAAAAGCUGAAAUGUAACUAUUGCCACAAGAUGUUUGCCAAGAACUUCGACCUCCAGCAGCACAUCAGAAGCCACACGGGGGAGAAACCCUUCCAGUGCAUUGUCUGCGGCCGGGCCUUCGCUCAGAAAUCCAAUGUCAAGAAGCACAUGCAGACCCACAAGGUGUGGCCAUCUGGGGUGUCCUCUGUCUCCAUGCAGGUGCUCACUGUCAGCUCGGAAGAAAUGGGCGAGCGUGAGGAGAACGAGGCCGCAGCAGAAUUAUCGGAGAACCCUGAGCAGCAGGCACUGGUGAACUCUGCCAGUCACUCGGGUGAGGCCGGUGCCAGUGCCGGUGCCGAGGUGAAGCAGAUGGUGGUGAUUGACAGCUCCUACCAGUGCCAGUUCUGUCCUGGGAAAUUCGUCAGUUACUUCCAGUUGAAGUCCCACAUGAUCCAGCACAAGAACCAACAGGUGUACAAGUGUGUGGUGAAGAAUUGCAUUCAGACCUUUGUGAAGCUCGAUGAGUUUGUCGAACACAUCAAGAAUCACGACGAUGAAAUAACAUACCGGUGUCAUCUCUGCAGUAAGAUCUUCCCAUCACUGUAUGAGCUGGGGGUACACCAGUAUUCUCACAACCUUUACCCCCAGCAGACUCCCAAGAAAUGCCCCACAUUUUACAGGUGUUCGAGGUGUUUGAGUAAAUACUCCACUCCUGAAGCCCUUGAACAUCACCUCCAGACAACCUCUCACAAUUACCCAUGUCCACAUUGUCAGAAGGUCUUUCCAAGUGAGAGGUACCUGCGGAGGCACAUCCCGGUGCACGGUGGUGGAGGAGUGUUCAAAUGUCAAAUAUGUAAAAAGUCCUUCAAAACCGAGCACUAUCUCAAGCUACACCACCUCAUUCACUCUGGUGAGAAACCGUUUAAGUGCACAUUAUGUUCAGCAGCAUUUAAUCGCAAGGAUAAAGUAAAGAGGCACAUGCUAACCCAUGACCCUGUCAAGAAAUUCAAGUGCCCUUUCAGGGUACACUCUGGUUGUACAAAAGAAUUCAACAGACCUGACAAGCUGAAGGCUCAUAUAAUCGCACACUCAGAAUCCCUACAGUGUGGAAACACGCCCUUUGGCCCAACGAGUCCACACCAACCUCCCCAUAGAAUCCCAUCCUGACCCCUCCCUCUCCCCCAAUUAGCCAUCUAAUCCACUCAUCCCUGAACGCCACGGGCAAUUUAGCAUGGCCAAUCCACCUAGCCUGCACAUCUUUGGACUGUGGGAGGAAACCGGAGCACCCGGAGGAAACCCACGCAGACACAGGGAGGAUGUACAAACUCCACACAGACAGUCACCUGAGGGUGGAAUCGAACCCAGGAUCAUGGCGUUUUGAGGCUGCAGUGCUAACCACUGAGCCACCGUGCCACCCCUCUGACUCCUCCCUCCCACAAUUCAAGGAAUUCAGUGACAUGGAGAAAAAUGACCAUGUGACCCUGAUCCUGCCAUCCCAUGACUCUGGUCAGAGCUUCUUGAGAAUCAACAGGGGUCACCAAUAAUGGAUUUCAGUAUUUUCAUCUCCAGCCCAUAACUCCCGCAGUCCUGGUCUCCUUCGUUUUACUGUAAUUUUGCUGCUGGUUCUUGCUAUGGGGCCAUGGUCACAGUGUUUUCUCCCCCAUCCCUGCCCUGACUGUCUCAGUAAAUAAAGCGGGGAUUCUAAUCCCACUGCAGUCGGAAUAUAGGUGAGGGAAAAUUGGCUAAGGCUCUAGCGGGAGAUAACUGACCAUUAACUCUGCAUGUCGUCAGAAAUCGUGCAACACCAGGUUACAGUCUGACAGAUUUAUUUGAAAACACAAGCUUUCACAGCACAGCUCCUUCUACACCUGAAGGAGUACUGAGGCUCUGAAAGCUUGUGAUUUCAAAUAAACCUGUCAGACUAUAACCUGGUGUCGUGUGAUUCCUGACCUUGUCCACCCCAGUCCCACACUGGUGCCUCCACGUGACAGCUCUGGAUAUGACUGUGAUACUCUCCUUGUCAACAGACUGGGUUUUUCUCAGUUCUUUCAUGGGAUGUGGGGUGUCACUGGCAAUGCUGUCCCUGAUUGCCCUGUGCCAUGCUGGGCCAUCUCAGAGUGCGGUUAUGAGUCUCUGUGGCCUGGAGUCCAGUGUUGGCCAGACCAGGAGUCAAGCCAUACAAGUGUCAGUUUUGCAGCAAGAGCUUUAGCCGACGAGCCCACAUGGUGGAGCACCAGCACUCGCACACAGACACCUACACCAUCCGCUGUGCCC